UGUAUAAUGGGUCAGCGACUUAUAUUCUGUAGCAAGGUUAACCGAAUAGGGGAGCCGAAGGGAAACCGAGUCUUAACUGGGCGUUAAGUUGCAGGGUAUAGACCCGAAACCCGGUGAUCUAGCCAUGGGCAGGUUGAAGGUUGGGUAACACUAACUGGAGGACCGAACCGACUAAUGUUGAAAAAUUAGCGGAUGACUUGUGGCUGGGGGUGAAAGGCCAAUCAAACCGGGAGAUAGCUGGUUCUCCCCGAAAGCUAUUUAGGUAGCGCCUCGUGAAUUCAUCUCCGGGGGUAGAGCACUGUUUCGGCAAGGGGGUCAUCCCGACUUACCAACCCGAUGCAAACUGCGAAUACCGGAGAAUGUUAUCACGGGAGACACACGGCGGGUGCUAACGUCCGUCGUGAAGAGGGAAACAACCCAGACCGCCAGCUAAGGUCCCAAAGUCAUGGUUAAGUGGGAAACGAUGUGGGAAGGCCCAGACAGCCAGGAUGUUGGCUUAGAAGCAGCCAUCAUUUAAAGAAAGCGUAAUAGCUCACUGGUCGAGUCGGCCUGCGCGGAAGAUGUAACGGGGCUAAACCAUGCACCGAAGCUGCGGCAGCGACGCUUAUGCGUUGUUGGGUAGGGGAGCGUUCUGUAAGCCUGCGAAGGUGUGCUGUGAGGCAUGCUGGAGGUAUCAGAAGUGCGAAUGCUGACAUAAGUAACGAUAAAGCGGGUGAAAAGCCCGCUCGCCGGAAGACCAAGGGUUCCUGUCCAACGUUAAUCGGGGCAGGGUGAGUCGACCCCUAAGGCGAGGCCGAAAGGCGUAGUCGAUGGGAAACAGGUUAAUAUUCCUGUACUUGGUGUUACUGCGAAGGGGGGACGGAGAAGGCUAUGUUGGCCGGGCGACGGUUGUCCCGGUUUAAGCGUGUAGGCUGGUUUUCCAGGCAAAUCCGGAAAAUCAAGGCUGAGGCGUGAUGACGAGGCACUACGGUGCUGAAGCAACAAAUGCCCUGCUUCCAGGAAAAGCCUCUAAGCAUCAGGUAACAUCAAAUCGUACCCCAAACCGACACAGGUGGUCAGGUAGAGAAUACCAAGGCGCUUGAGAGAACUCGGGUGAAGGAACUAGGCAAAAUGGUGCCGUAACUUCGGGAGAAGGCACGCUGAUAUGUAGGUGAAGUCCCUCGCGGAUGGAGCUGAAAUCAGUCGAAGAUACCAGCUGGCUGCAACUGUUUAUUAAAAACACAGCACUGUGCAAACACGAAAGUGGACGUAUACGGUGUGACGCCUGCCCGGUGCCGGA
rnacentral:rRNA from 1 species